rnacentral:rRNA from 1 species
GACGAACGCUGGCGGCGUGCUUAACACAUGCAAGUCGAACGGAAAGGCCCUGCUUGCAGGGUGCUCGAGUGGCGAACGGGUGAGUAACACGUGGGUGAUCUGCCCCUUACUUUGGGAUAAGCCUGGGAAACUGGGUCUAAUACUGGAUAGGACCAUGCUGUAGGUGGUGUGGUGGAAAGAUUAGUUUCGGUAAGGGAUGAGCUCGCGGCCUAUCAGCUUGUUGGUGGGGUAAUGGCCUACCAAGGCGUCGACGGGUAGCCGGCCUGAGAGGGUGGGCGGCAACAUUGGGACUGAGAUACGGCCCAGACUCCUACGGGAGGCAGCAGUGGGGAAUAUUGCACAAUGGGCGCAAGCCUGAUGCAGCGACGCCGCGUGGGGGAUGACGGCCUUCGGGUUGUAAACUCCUUUCAGCCAUGACGAAGCCCUUGUGGUGACGGUAGUGGUAGAAGAAGCACCGGCUAACUACGUG